CACAAGCUGUUUCAGCCCCAGCUGUUGCAAGCAGGAUGAGCAAGCCAGAAUAUUCACCUGGCCAUCCACUCCAGUAGUGACAAGAAUUCCCGUCUUCUUCCCUUUCACUCUGCACUGGGAAGUAUGAGAAGAUGAUCAGAAGAGGAGCAGAAAGUACUCCAUUAUCCAGCACCAACCAUCUGAAGACUUUGGUGUCAGGCCCCUCUUCUGUAAGGCUGCUGCUGUUGGCUGGGGUUCCAUUCCAGGCCCUAUUUGCCUGGUCCUUCCCGCACUUGAAGGUGUCACGCAUGGAGGCUGCAGAACAGCACAGAUGGCUGCCUGCUCCUUCCUCUGGGAUCUCUGUCCACACAGAGCACUGACCUGAUGCCAGUGGAAACACUACUGUGUAAGGUACAUUGGGGGUUCUCACCCAGUUAAGGGGCACGAGAUUCAGGACUCGCUUAAUGAAGCACUCUGGCUCCCCCUUGGUGGACGGGUUGUGCUGUUCUGGGGGGAAUUCCACUCAUUUGGGCUGCCCAGAUUCCUCAGAUCCAGCAGGGGGAAAGACGAAGUCUGCUGAUCUGUAGAGACCAUGGCCACGCUUCCCUAAAGGGGCUCAGUCCCAUGGAGAUCAGAGUUUUGUCCCUAAACCCCUGGCUGGAGUUCUGAAAUCCCUGCAGGGAGGCCCUGUCCGGUGAGGAGGAAUGGGUCAGGGUCCAGCCUAAGGAGGCAGUGUGGCCAUGAUCUCCCACAGCUGCUGUGCUGCGCUCGUGGGGAAUUCCUCCUGGGUCCAAACCGUCCAGUCCCCCUGGCACCAGCAGGAAAAACAUGGCAGACUGGAGCUGCAGUGAUGGCUGCUGCCCCUCUCCCCAGGAACUCAGUCAUCUUAGGCAGCAGGCAGCAUAGUGAUGGCAGACACCCCUCCCCCUGGGGACUUGGUAGUCUUAGGGAGCAUCCAGCAGAGCAGCUACCGGGAAUCGGCACAGCUUUGUGCUUGGGACCCAAGGCCUUGGUGGUGUGGACUCACAAGGGAGAUCUCCUAAUCCACAGGUUGUACAGAUCUAUGGAAAAGCCAAGCUGCCCUGACAGGGUAGCACAACCUCUCACUGCCUCCCUUGGCUGCCAGUAGGAGCUCCCCUUUCCCUCUGUGGAUCUCAGGCAAAAGAAGAUAAUGCUCUUUCUGGUGACCAAUCACUCAGUUGGAUAACUUGAGUUGACAUAUGGAUACCAUGCCAGAAAAGGACUCUAACUUCAGAAAUCAAAACCAACUGGGACUAUUAGGUGAUGUAACAGCAGUAACUGAGUCUCCUUAAUGACCAAGUAGGGACUGGGAGGCAAGUAUAUUUGGUAUGCAAAUAGAUUAUUUCUUCUGGGGCCUAUGUAUCAAUACAAUCAGUACAUACAAUGCAUAUAUAUGUCACUCACAGGUUAUAAGUUAUUUCUAAUUUAUAAUCAGAUAUCAAUUAUAUCAAUUCUAUUUUCCCUUCAAGGAGCAAAUGUACAAGUUUUAAAACAAAGUAAGGCUGGUGCUGUUUUCUAUUUAUGUUAUUUCUUUCUUUAUUUUGUUAUGUGAUUGAUUGGCUUUUUUGCCCUGGGUCUUUAUGGCUGUGGACCCAGGAAAUGCAUAAAAUGAUGCCCUUGAUAGGUGAAUCUAUGUUAAGCUGCUGUGAGACAUGCCUGGUCACUCAAGCUGUGCUGUAUUCCAAUAGAACUUUGGUGAAAAUUUCCUCAUUUAAAAAGUCUUAUGUACCAUAUUGUGGUAAUAUCCAGGUCAAUGUGAAAGUUAAACAGCAAAACUUAUUAAAAAGUGGAAACCUUUUAUGGCUAUUUGCUGGUUUGUAGCAUUUUAAUUUUUCCCCUUUUCUUUUUCUAAAUAGGUGGCAAGAUAUAUUGCAUCCAAGCUGAGAACUUAAGAAAACUACCCAUAAUGACAUCACAAUUAUAUGUGUUGCUUCAAUUAUUAGUUUACUCAAUCACCAGUUCCCAGAAGAUAUUAUUGAAAGGGUUACAUUAUUGAAAUGCUAAACAAAGGUGGUACUUGGUACCAUAUGUACUUGAGAAAACAAAAUCUGACUGGUAGGAAAUUUUUAUGCGUGCCAUUCCUCUUUGAACUUGACAUUAGGUCUGUUUGUUACACAAGAAUAUAUCUGAGUCCUGUCUGAGAUAAAGGAUACUACUCUGAAGAUGCAAAGAAUAUGUGGACCUUAAGCUGGCCUUACAAUACUCUUUUCUUGUUUUAACGUAUUGCAAGUCAAAUUUAGCCUGACAUUUUAUCAGAUUGUUUAAUUUCAGGAAUAUGCAUCCAAUCAUUCUGAUGGCUCUUUCUUUAAAAUUCUCCAUGAUUUUUUCUUUUUUUUUUAAAUUAAGUUGGCAGAACAGAGAUCCAACCCUUAUUUUCAGUAAAAUCAAAGCAAUUGCUGAUUAGAAAAAAGGGAAGAAACAUUCAAACCUCAUGAUGAUAGAUGAUAUUACCAACCUUGAGCUUCAUAUAGUUACCCCCUAAGUUCCUUAGCAAUGGAUAGAUUGAAGCAUCCUUUAAAUCCCGUUCCCUUUUCUAGUUUGAGUAAUUGUUACAAUGAGAUUGCCUAGCGUAUUUGUCUCCAGAAGUCACAUGUACCAUAUCUUCAGGCAUCAAAACCUUGGUUUGCAUAUGCAAAAUGUCCCAAAUUUGAUAUAGUUCAGAAUCACAUACAAAAGUUAUGAGGCCCUAGUGUAAAACUUCUGGAAUGGUGGAAUGAAAAUCUUUAUAAAUCAGCUCCUCAUAAAGCAAUUAAAUUUCUGGCAACAUUGUCAAAAUCAAAAUUUUCACAACUCAGGAAAUUAAAAACAAAAUCAAUAGACACUGUCUCAGCAGGCAUCCAGAUGCUGGACUUAGUAUACAAGACUUUACAUUUGACUCUUAUAAAUAUGUUUGAAGAGCUAAGAAAACAUUGCCUAAAAUAUGACAAUGAUGUCUCACCAAAAAGAGAAUCCUGGUUAAGAGACAGAAAUUUGUAAAAGAACCAAAUAUGCAUUCUUGAAAAAUGAGGCAUUACCAAUCUUAUAAAAAUAAAAUGAAUUAUAACAAAAUAAUAUGACACAUCAAAAUCAUCACUAUCCAAAGACAAAUACAAAGAGAGGAUUUUGAAAGCAGCAAAAGUGGAGACUCAUCACAGACAAGAGAUCCUUAAUAUGAUUAGCAGGUAUUUAUAACCAGAAACCAUGAAGGCUGUAAGGAAGUGGGAAAACAUAUUUAAAAUGAAGAAAAAUUUUAAAAAUCAGGAAUUCUCUACUCAGCUAUUAUCCUUGGAAAAUGAAACAAAAUUAUCCUUGGAAAAUGAAACAGAAAUUAAGACAUUCCUGCCACUAACAGAUAUUCCCUACAGGAAAUACUAGUGGGAUCUCAUCAAGCCAACAUGAAAGUAUGCCUGAAUCCAAAUGAUAAAAUUAAGCAUAUCAGUGUGGCAGGCUGAAUAAUAGCCCCUAAAGAUAUCAAUUUCUUAACCCCUAGAACCUGUAAAUGUCGCUCUAUUUGACAAAAGGACUUUGCAAUGUGUUUAAAUAAAGAAUCUUGAGAUGGAAAAAGUAUACUAGAUUACUAGGUAGGCUCUAAUUAUAAUCACAAGUAUUUUUAUAAGAGGCUCUAAUUAUAAUCACAAGUAUUUUAUAAGGAAGACUCGACUACAUAGGCUGAGAAGGCAAUGCGAUGAUGGAAAACAGAUUGGAAUGAUGCGCUACGAAGACAAAGGAAGAGGCCACAAGCCAAGAAAUAGGGUGGGCCACUAGAAGCUGAAAAACUCAAGGAAAAAGAUUCUCACCUCAGAGCCACUAGAAAGAACUGGGCCUGCCAAGAAAUGUACUUUGGCCAGGGAAACUGACUUCAAGCUUCUGAUCUCCAGAAAUGGGAUAGAACAAAUGUAUGUUGUUUUAGGCCACCAACUUUGUGGCAAUUUCUUGCAGGUCAAUAUAGAUAAAUAUAAAGGAGAGUAAGUAUAAAUAUAUAUUUGUAACUCUUCUGUCCGAUUUAAAAGGUAGCUGUAUAAAGCAAUAACUAUAAAAACUCUGUUGGGUUCUACUGUAUAAAAUUGCAAUAUGUAUUACAGAAACAGCACUAAGGAAAUUGAAAGGAAUGGGGCUAUAUGGAAAAAAUUCUGUAUACUACUGAAAUUAAAUUAGUAAUAAAACUAGAUUUUUUUUUGUUAAGAUGCUAAUUGUAAUACCCAAGGCAACGACUAGGAAAAUAACUAAAAUAUACAGAAUUAAAGAAACAACAACAUAAUUAAAAUAGUAAACUAGAACAUACCUAGUUGACAUUCAAAAAUUCAGUAGUGUAGAAAUGGAGAAACAAAAAAGGCAGGACAUAUAGAAAACAAUCGGAAAAUAGAAGACAUGAGUCCUAAUUUAUCAGUAAUUAUAUUAAAUUAUCUCAUUGUUUCUUUUAUUCAUAUUUUUAAUUAUUAUCUUAGUGGCUGCCUUGAAUAUUAUAAUUAGUAUCUAUAUAUCACCACAUGAAGUAAAUCUAAAUUAAUGUUGACUGUACAAAAUACUCUUACUGUCCUAUCAGGUUUAAAAUACACAUAAAAAUAAAAUAUGUCACAAGAACACCACAGGUGAUGGUGAAAUGAAAUAAAAAUAUUUUAGUAUCUCAGUAUUGCCUGAGGUAAUAAAAGAAUAAAGUUUAGGUUUCCACUUGGGGAAACAUAAUGAUAUAAUUUCUGGGGUAUUUUUGAAAGAAAUUUUUUUAAAGUAUAAAUAAUCUGCAAAUAGAAAAGAUAAUGGAUUAGCAAAAAAAAAAUACUUCAUUAAUCUAAUAUGAGACAAGAAAGGAGACAAAAAGGGGAAUAAUGGGACAAAUAAAAAGUAAUAAAUGGUAGAUAUGUAACCAAAUAGAUCGAUGAUUACAUAACAUGUAUACGAACUAUUUUACUAAAAAGAAAAUCAUUAGACUACAUAAAGUAUAAAACUCAACAAUAUGAUGCUUACAAGAGACAUCAUUAAUUAAAAGGCAGAAAUGUUUUGAAAUAAAAUCUAUGGAAAAAGAACAAAACAUACCAUUCAAACACUGACCAAAAGACAAAACCGAUUUCAAGGUAAG
rnacentral:lncRNA from 1 species